CUAAAAGUUGACAACAUCUUUAUAAGUUACUUAUAUGAGCGCGUUUAACUUGAAAAGUCUUAGAUUCAUGUAUCACUAUUUCUACCAAAAGCGAUUGCUAAUAAUAGAGGUGUCUCCAGCCUCGCAUUUUACAAGCUACACAAGGGCAUAAGGGCUUCGCAAUGAUACGUAGAGUUAAAGGUUGAUUGUUUUCCACCAACAAAUGAAAACCAAGAGUUGAGAUGAAG
rnacentral:misc_RNA from 1 species